rnacentral:piRNA from 1 species
UGUACCUGGUGCUGGGAAAGAGUUGA